CAGCGACUUCAGAGUUUGAUCCUGGCUCAGGACGAACGCUGGCGGCGCGCCUAACACAUGCAAGUCGAACGGUGACGAGAGAGCUUGCUCUCUCUGAUCAGUGGCGGACGGGUGAGUAACACGUGAGCAACCUGGCUCUAAGAGGGGGACAACAGUUGGAAACGACUGCUAAUACCGCAUAACAUAUACUUUAGGCAUCUUUAGUAUAUCAAAGAUUUUAUCGCUUAGAGAUGGGCUCGCGUCUGAUUAGAUAGUUGGCGGGGUAACGGCCCACCAAGUCGACGAUCAGUAGCCGGACUGAGAGGUUGAUCGGCCACAUUGGGACUGAGACACGGCCCAG
rnacentral:rRNA from 1 species